UACGGAGGGCGCUAGCGUUGUUCGGAAUUACUGGGCGUAAAGCGCACGUAGGCGGCUUUGUAAGUUAGAGGUGAAAGCCCGGGGCUCAACUCCGGAACUGCCUUUAAGACUGCAUCGCUUGAAUCCGGGAGAGGUGAGUGGAAUUCCGAGUGUAGAGGUGAAAUUCGUAGAUAUUCGGAAGAACACCAGUGGCGAAGGCGGCUCACUGGACCGGUAUUGACGCUGAGGUGCGAAAGCGUGGGGAGCAAACAGG
rnacentral:rRNA from 1 species